CAUUUAUGGGUAAAAUCCAUACCCAUCAAAGCUUCUAUCCAAGUAAUCUAUCUAUUACUACUAUCCACCUUCAUCCUUUUUAAAUAAUAAAAAUAAAAAUAAAAACAACUAAUUCAUUUAAUCCUAACAAAAUAAAAAUAUAAACAAAUACAUAUCAUCAAAUCAAACACAUCAAUUACUAAAUUAAUUACACUCCAUUUAAACACAUUUAGAUCACACAAAUACAAACCAAUAAUACACAUAAUUUAAAUUAAACAACUAAGUCAAUUAAACACAUAACAAAUGGCCAAAUAAUCAAUUAAUCAAAUAAAAAUAUAAUUAAAAUAAUUAAAUAAAUACCGAAAUAAUAUUUUUAAAAUUAAAAAUUAGGGAUAUUAUAGAGUGCUCCUGUCAUAGGUCUUUUGCUCUUGAUGGUUUCUUCUCCGGUGAUUUUGGAUAUUCCUUUCUAUCCUUGCCAGAAAGGCAAACGUGCGCAGCAGGAUGUAAAGCCGGGGGUUUUACAUUUUGGAAGAAUUGCUGACCUUUCAGUGCAAAAUUUUCCUUUUGAUCCAGGUAACGGACGGUUCCAGGUCUUAGAUCUUGUUCAUGCUGAGCAGAGACGACUUCUCAUUCUUCCGACGACGUAGGCGGUUCCUGUAUGGUUUAGCAUUGGACUUCUUUUUAGUUGUUCGCUUUCCAGUAUUGCCUUGUUAUUAGGGGUCCACCAGAUGGAUUCCCGAGUUGUAUUAGAAAUGGGAAAUUUGGUUGUAUCAGAAUAAUUCUUUAUUAAUUUAAUUUUAUUCUGAGGUUUCAGUAUUUGGUUUAUCA